rnacentral:lncRNA from 1 species
CAGGAGUUGGCGGAUGCUUUAGUCCAGGUCUGGGAGGAGAUCCCUCAGGAGACCAUCCGCCACCUCAUCAGGAGCAUGCCCAGGUGUUGUAGAGGUCAUACAGGCACGUGGAGGCCACACACACUACUGAGCCUCAUUUUGACUUGUUUUAAGGACAUUACAUCAAAGUUGGAUCAGCCUGUAGUGUGGUUUUCCACUUUAAUUUUGAGUGUGACUCCAAAUCCAGACCUCCAUGGGUUGAUAAAUUGGAUUUCCAUUGAUUAUUUUUGUGUGGUUUUGUUGUCAGCACAUUCAACUAUGUAAAGAAAAAAGUAUUUUAAUAAGAUUAUUUCAUUCAUUCAGAUCUAUGAUGUUAUUUUAGUGUUCCCUUUAUUUUUUUGAGCAGUGUAACUAGCUGCCGAAUAGGCAUCAACUCACCACGUAGCUUAUUCUUAAUGUUUGGCCAUAGGCUACCAGAGUGAGGACAGACAUUUUUCGGAAUAAACGUGGUCCCAGAUACCUCUUUCAUGUCUGUCUACAGAACAACCCCAACCACAGUCUGACAAGUGCUGAGGGACUGAAGAGGAGAGAUGUCAGCGGACACCAUUGAGAAAUUGACAAAGCUGUUUGAAAUAGACCACUCUCCUUCAUCAGCUCUAAAAACGAUCAAAUAUGAGGUGGAUGUGCAUGCCUCUGUGGAUCGCUCCAUUUGCCCCGACCUUCAAUUCUGCUACAAACCGUGGCAAUGCGUCUGAGGACACCGUUGAAAUUGAGCGUGCUCCCGUUUCUGAUGUUAACGGCUCAGGUACAUCUGGAAAACUAGCUGAGGGGGUGACGUUAGAGGAAGAGUGGAUGGACAUCUUUGAAGACCUCAAAAAGAGGAUGAGGGAGGAUCCUGUGAGUUUCAGGCCUGCAGUAGCAUCCUUCGUUUCCAGCUUAAAGAAGAUGAAAACAGACAGUGAACUCAUAGCCGCACUACCAAACUUUGGCAUAACCAACCCUGGACCAACAGCAAAGUUUUACCGGGGACGGGCACGCCCCACAGAGAGCUCCGUAGGAGAGCAUGGACAUGGCACAUGCAGCUGGAAGAGGAAGGCAC